rnacentral:rRNA from 1 species
UACGUAGGGUGCGAGCGUUAAUCGGAAUUACUGGGCGUAAAGCGUGCGCAGGCGGCGCGUUAAGACAGGUGUGAAAGCCCCGAGCUUAACUUGGGAAUUGCGCUUGUGACUGGCGUGCUGGAGUGUGGCAGAGGGAGGUGGAAUUCCACGUGUAGCAGUGAAAUGCGUAGAGAUCGGGAAGAACACCAGUGGCGAAGGCGACGUGCUGGGUUGCACCUGACGCUGAGAUGCGAAAGUGUGGGGAGCAAACGGG